GGCCCUUUGUUAUUCUAGUAUAAAGGGUCGGACCUGCCCGGUGGGAUUAGCUAGCCUUAACGGUUGCAACUAGAGUUGUGUUAAUGUAGCGUAAUAAUUAGCCUUUUAAAAGGAGGGAGGAAUGAAUGGUUUGACGAGAGACCUGCUGUCUCGGAAGUAAAUUCUAAAGUUUUCUUUUAAGUGAAAAGACUUAGAUUUUUAAAUAAGAAGAGAAGACCCCGGUGAGCUUGAUAAACCUUAAUUAAGAAGUUAAGCUUUGAAGUUUUGUUGGGGCAACAGGAAGGGAAAAAGAACCCUUCCGGUGGUGGUGAAGAUCCCCUAUGAGGGAAGUUAGCAAAAGCUACCACGGGGAUAACAGCUUAAUCUUUUCUGAGAGAACAAAUUGAAGAGAAGGAUUGCGACAUCGAUGUUGGAUUAGGGUGCCCUUUCGGUGCAGAAGUUGAAAAGGGGAGACUGUUCGUCUUUUAAAUCCCU
rnacentral:rRNA from 1 species